GGACGAACGCUGGCGGCGUGCUUAACACAUGCAAGUCGAACGGAAAGGCCUCUUUCGGGGGGUACUCGAGUGGCGAACGGGUGAGUAACACGUGAGUAACCUGCCCUUGACUUUGGGAUAACUUCAGGAAACUGGGGCUAAUACCGGAUAGGAGCUCCUGCUGCAUGGUGGGGGUUGGAAAGUUUCGGCGGUUGGGGAUGGACUCGCGGCUUAUCAGCUUGUUGGUGGGGUAGUGGCUUACCAAGGCUUUGACGGGUAGCCGGCCUGAGAGGGUGACCGGCCACAUUGGGACUGAGAUACGGCCCAGACUCCUACGGGAGGCAGCAGUGGGGAAUAUUGCACAAUGGGUGGAAGCCUGAUGCAGCAACGCCGUGUGCGGGAUGACGACCUUCGGGUUGUAAACCGCUUUCGCUCAUGACGAAGCUUUGUGUGACGGUAGUGGGUAAAGAAGCACCGGCUAACUACGUG
rnacentral:rRNA from 1 species